GCCUACGGGGGGCAGCAGUAGGGAAUUUUCGUCAAUGGGCGCAAGCCUGAACGAGCAAUGCCGCGUGAACGAGGAAGGUCUUCGGAUCGUAAAGUUCUGUUGAAGGGGAAAAAGAGCGGAGAGAGGAAAUGGUCUCCGAUUGAUAUUAUCCUUCGAGGAAGUCACGGCUAACUACGUGCCAGCAGCCGCGGUAAUACGUAGGUGGCGAGCGUUAUCCGGAAUGAUUGGGCGUAAAGGGUGCGUAGGCGGCCUGCUAAGUCUGGAGUGAAAGGUACCGGCUCAACCGGUACAGGCUCUGGAAACUG
rnacentral:rRNA from 1 species